UAAAAGGAUCUCCCAGGGUGAGUGAGGAGGCGGGAUCGGACCCUGGCAGUCUGAUGGCAACACCUGUGUUCCUCUGCGCUGGGCCAUGGACGACAUUACACACCUUGCCACUCCCAUGGCCCUGUGUGUUCCAGAUAUUUUUAAAUAUUGGCUGUAAGGUUGAGCGCGUCAGGAUAUGCCGUUUUGGCUGUGUGCAGAUGGAGGCAGUGGCUGGAGUGAAUGAAGGACAAUUGCUGGCAACCGGCAGAAGCUGAGAAACAGGGAACAGGCGCUCCUCCAGAGCCUCCAGGAGCCAGGCCUUUGGACACCUCGAACAUGGGCUUCUGGGAGACCACAUGUGUCUGCUGUAAGCAACCCAGACUCUGGCAGUUUUUAGAGCCACCCCAGGAUGCUCAUCCACACCUGUCUGACAAGGGCAAGCUCCAAGGAAGGGAUUCUUUGGGUAUCUACAUUGUUUGAAGAUUUUACAAUAAUCAUUUAUUCUUGCAUGCCUAAUCAUCGUUAGCCAAUACAGGUAAAAUAAUAAAGAAAUGACCCACA